CAUGGGCUUUGGGCUGAACUUGAUUGGCUUGGGCUGUAGCCUUAAUAGUUCUCCUCUGUUUUUUUUUAUCAUCUUGCAGCCUUCUUUUGAGAAGGUACACCGUCCAUCCUUUCUUGAACUAGGCUUGGGGGGAACUAGUCUCGAUAUACAGUGAUCUUUGUCAGAUGGGAACACCACCACCAGUCAUCGAUGCAGAUGAGCUUCAACGAGAUCCCGAGAUUAGAAGCAGGCAACGUUACGCGGUCUUUGCGAUGAUUUGGAGAUUCCAUCUCAAGCCUCUAUGCUUACAUGGGAGGCUGGUCCUAUACCAGAAGGUGGAGUAUGGGCACCAUGGUGGUACAAGAGUGUGCACGAGUCAACUGGUUUCUCAUCUCCAAAGAAGUACCCUCGUACGCUCCCUUUUGUCACAUUACGAUUUGCUGGAGCAAAGUCUACCAUUUUACAACAUUCUUAGGAGCCACGUGAAGCGCAAGUCCUCACUAUUGAUUAGCUCCUUGGCUCCUCCUAGUCUCCCGGUUCCUGAAAACGCAAAACUUCUUGCAUGGGUUGAUGACGAGCUUUUACCUCGUGAGAUGGCAAAUGUUUCAGUUUUUGACUCGGUUGUACAAGGCGGUGACUCAGUAUGGGAAGGACUCAGAGUUUACAAGGGGAAGGAAGGUAUUCAAACUUGAAGAACAUCUUGAGCGGUAAUGACAACAUUCCAAAUGCUUACGAAACUAAGAAUCAAGUAGCAGAGUUUUCUUGUUUUAUAUGUUGAAAUGUUGGGUUAGGCUCUGGCUUCCGAAAGUGUUCCAUCUCGUGAAGAGGUUGUCUUUAACUCGUGGCAAAAAGGUAUUGUGUAACGAGAAGUUGGACCGGUAACGAGAACACUGCAAAACGCUGACAAGAAUCUGACAGAGGAUUCAGGUGUGCUAAUACCCACAUACCAAGGAGAUACCAAAAAAGAGUGGUGGUGAUAAAGAAGUGCGUCUUGGCUUUAACUUCUAGAAAGGCACUACUGGGUCAAACUAUAAUUUAAUUCAGCGUUCUUUGUUUGACCCAACGUGAGAGGCUGAGAAAUAUGACCAUUAAUAAAUAAAGCGAGCGACCACGUAUGGAGACUACACAAUCAGCAGAUUAGAUCUUUUGCCGUUUCAUUUACGGAAAUUGAUUAAAGAGUUCCUCGUUCAUUCACGUGAGGGAUUCACGAGAUAAACUGAAUCAAAGGCCAUGUUUGUUUAUCUAAU